CAACCCUCAAGCCCCCGGGCUUGGUGUUGGGGCUCGGCCCGUCCCUAGCGGCGCGCCGUCCCCGAAAUCCAGUGGCGGUCUCGCUGCAGCCUCCCCUGCGUAGUAGCUAACACCUCGCAACGGGAACUGAGCGCGGCCAUGCCGUUAAACCCCAACUUCUGAA
rnacentral:misc_RNA from 1 species